rnacentral:rRNA from 1 species
UACGGGGGGGGCAAGCGUUGUUCGGAAUUACUGGGCGUAAAGGGUUCGUAGGCGGUCAACUAAGUCAGACGUGAAAUCCCUCGGCUUAACCGGGGAACUGCGUCUGAUACUGGAUGGCUUGAGUUUGGGAGAGGGAUGCGGAAUUCCAGGUGUAGCGGUGAAAUGCGUAGAUAUCUGGAGGAACACCGGUGGCGAAGGCGGCAUCCUGGACCAACACUGACGCUGAGUGAGCGAAAGCCAGGGGAGCAAACGGG